rnacentral:misc_RNA from 1 species
GACAAUCCUUCGGCUUAAGCAACUAUAUCACAUGUAAACAAUCAGAUUCAACUUGCAAUCUUCUAAAGCUCAAUUUCAAAGCUAAUUGUAACCCAUAAGAGAUUUCCAUGGCUUCUGAAAUUCCCGGCUCCCAAGAUCCACAAAUACAUUUCACUGCAAAUGCCAACAUAAAUCCACAGUGAUCCCAAAAACCACACCAAAUUGAAUAAAAUUUUAAUCUGUGAUACCAGCAUCCGUAUUCAGUUUAACAGUGCCUAGCAAUGGAGUUUCCCAAGCAAAAACUUUAGAAUGAUCUGACAGCAAUAGACCCUCAUCCUCAACCAACCUUGUUUGGAGAAAUUUAGAAGUAAGCCAACCAUCCUUAGCAACAACCUCAUAAGAAGACCAUUGGUGUUACUCAAACGCCCACUUAUUCCUACCAACCCAAAUAAAAUAGCAUAAAAUUGCAACCUUCACAAAUUCAUCCCUUUAACAUUUCUCCAGCAAACCCAUCACCAUAAUUUAAAAUUCAAUCUAG